rnacentral:lncRNA from 1 species
GGCGGACAUUGAUCAGAUGAGUUUCUGGCAGUCCCACCCUGCUAGCAGGCAGGCCCAAACCUUCUGAGUGUAACCAACAGGCACAGCAUCUUAACAAUUCAAGAGCUGGUCUUCUCCGUGAGACAGCACGGCAGUGAGCUUCCAACCUCUCCCUAACUCACGGUUCCUGUCCUACAGCGGUAUCUAGCAUGCUGAAGCCUGGAUGCCUGGGGUACUGGCAGCAGAUCGACUCAGAUAAGCGUCAACCUAAUAGAAUAUGACGGAACUGAAGAUCGUUUUUUUUUUGGUACCGGGGAUCGAACUCCAGUCCUUGUGCUUGCCAGGCAAGCGGCAGAACCACUGAGCUAAAUCCAUGGAACUGGAACUGAAGAUCUUCACAGCCAACCAUCAUGUCUUCUUCUUUGAGGACGAGCAUCCUCUACUCUUCUGAUUGCUCCCCAGAUGUCAUGGUUUGUCAUCUCAGGUUUUCAUUUUUCUUUGUACACACGUAUUGCUUUGGGGGUGGGACCACAGCUGACUCUAGUUAGGGAAAUUGACCUUGUAAACAGGUGUCAGGUAAAGAUUGCUGGUCAGGGAUUCAAUAGCAAAGCUGUGAGGGAAGGAAGUGCAGGAUUAGAUGAGGGCAGUCCUGGCAAACCUUCUAGAGUUUUCAAUGAGAACUAACAGUCAGCUGUGGCACACAUUCACCACCACUGGAACAGGACAGGAGGAAACAGGGAGAAGGAGUCAGCAGUCAGGACUCCUCAGCCAUGUGGUUGUGAGGGCAGUGAGUAAGAUGGCAGCUCCAGGCUGCCAUCCUCUGAGCUUUGCACAUCCUCCACUAAGGAGAACACCUGAUGGGUAUGGCUUGGGGCACAGCAACAUCCCUGCGCUCAUCAUUGUGACUGGGACAUCUCAGAUGAUACCCGUGUUGUGAGGCUCUGCUUCGGGAAUGCACUGUGGUGGCUGGAAAGCCCCUGUGUGCAGUCAGGAGGCCGGGAGAGGCAGUUCUGCAAAGCAGGGGGUGUUGUUUCCGGGAAAAGAGGGCAAAGCUUCCUGGUACUCCAAACCAGCAGACGUCUUCUACUGAAUUGUUUGAAGAGGAACUAGGGGUAGGAAGAGUGACUGAAGGGAGCCCACGGUGGACUCAGCCUGAGCUUUACAAUUUAGCCACUGCCAUUGGGAGGAUCCAGUUUCUCUGCCAGGGGUCUGUCCCUUUCGAAGGCUUUACUGUGCUCUUGAAGAACGGCACUUAUACAACACUGAAGUGUGCUUUCUGAGCAGCUUAACGAAAACGGGCUAUGGAAUUGCAGAACAAGGCCAUGUCCGAAGGCGAGUGAGAAGCCACCCAGGGCUGUCUUCUGGAUAAAAGCUGGGAGGAGGGACAGACACUUGGGCUGGUUUAGGGCCCUGGAUUUUCAUGCACCCUGAAAAAUUCUUGGUCGAAGCUUAUUUAACAUACCUCGUGUGACCUUAUAAUUGAAUGGCCACUUAAAGGAAAUCUUAAUAAGCAAUUGCAGCCUAAAUAGUUCCUUCAUGUGAUGUCUUGAAAAGUUGUUCUAGCCUCUUUAAGCAAAACGCCUGCCUGUACUUUAUUGUAAUGAUUUUCUCGAUACCUCAUCUCCCUGGAGCAUUCGUGCAUUGUAAGUACCUUCUGUUUGCUGCUUAAGCUAUUUAUUAAUCACAUUCUUUCCUAUUCAGCCCUAACCAGGAGAAAUGACAAUUUUAGGCAUUUCUCAGUUACCUACUAUAAGUUGGCCCAAUUACUACAUGAUCUUAUAGACUAUUCCUUAGGAUGUUUCUCCUACUCUAGUGCUCUAAUUGGUUUGCUAAAAUGGAAAAAGAAAAAAAUGGGGUCUUAAUGUUAUAAGAUAAGAUUUUUGGGAUGCCUACAUUUUCUCUUAAAUGGUUAAAGGAGUUUUAGCUGUAUAUAUCAUUUUGCGGCAAUCACAUUUAAUGACCACAUAAAUGCUCGCUCAAUUUUAAUGAGAAUAUCCCACUUUCAAUAUUUAUAAAUUUUGAAACUGAAGUCCUUUGUCUUCCUGUGCAGGAGAGGCUGUGGAACUGAUAAUCUAAAUUGGGUGCCGUGACUAUUCACGAAAUAUUGGAGAGAAACCUUCACAAUCGGGAUGCAACAUCGUUGUGCUCGUCUUUCUAGAACUGUUUGGGUAGCUAGCUCUUCGCUCAGUGUGUCUGCCUCCACCGCCGACAGAGAAGUCCUCUGUAGGCUUCAUCACUUGGCGCACCGGGGACACACUGCCCUUGCAGGGUGCUGCAGAGAGAGCGUUGCAUGGGUGGAGAGGUGGAGAGGCCAGUUCGUCAAGUAGGUGACUCCCUGCGCUGUGUCAUGGGGUGGUCAUGACCUGGGAAGACUCCAGUGGUGAGGACACUGUACCCUGUGGCUUUGGAGCCUGCAUUUGUAUCAUUGGGCCGUCUUUGGGAAAGCAUGUUAGAAGUUAAAGAUGGUACUAUAUGAGAGGCCUUCAACUCUGCCACCACCCGGGAAGGCAUUCUGCUUUAUUCAGUCCACGAAUCACAUGCUAACCUCAUCUAGAAGCAGCCUCAGACAAACCUCAGAAGGUCUGAUCACAUAUCUGCGAAUCUCACGGCCGGGCCAAAGUGACACAUGAAGGUAGCCAUGCCAGGUGGUUGUCCUGAGGCGAUCCAGCAGCAGAAGGGCCUCCUUCUGACUUUGCGGAGUGGGUGUGUGUUGGUGCGGGUGCCAUAUUGGAGCGGUGGUCCGCGGCAUCAGAAGUACCCUAGGCAAGCUUUGGACCUGACUCCUCCCUCUCCAUCCUCCCCCCAGCAUCACUGAUGAUAACUGUUAAAACUACAUCGUAUAUAAAUGCAAAGCUGUGAAGAUUAUGGAACUUUUGAGAAAAACAGAAGACAAUGAAUUUAAUGAUUUUCUACUCAUUGACUGAGUCAUGGGACAACUGUGUAAAGGAUUUCCUGAACUAUAAAUUCUUAUUGUCAUAAACCAUAAACGUUUUGAAAGAAAAAAAGCUCCCCAAAUAUUCAAUAAUCAAAUGAGAAAACUGGCAAUAUGACUUACAUUUUCUCAGUGUUGCCACUGCAAAUAAACUAACUUUGAGGGUCUGUGGAAAGUAAAAGUUUGGGACCUACAUCCACCUGUAUGGAAAUUUAUAUUGAAAUUGAAGCUUUACAUGAUACAAUUUAAUAAUGAUUUUACAUGUUUUCUAAUAUGAAUCAGUAUGGGAAAUAUUUUAAAUGUGAUUAGUGGUGUCAUGUAUAUUGAUUACAAAAAGUAUGAGAAAAAAUUGAAGAAUGUUUUUCCAUACUGAUAAAUUUAGAGUUGUUUUAAAAUCUAUGCACUACUAAUUUGGAUUCAAUUUUAAUAAUACUGAGUUAAGAAAAAAUUAAUGAAUUUAUUUAAUUUUAACAGGCAUAACUUUGAAAUGGAUACACAAAGUCCAAUCGGUUCUUUGAAAAAGAUACUGUACACUUGUUUUGUUAAUGUAGUUAUUAAUAUUACUUAAUAUUAUUUUUAGUAAUGGGUUCAGUUAUCUGACAUCUUUUAAGUACGUGUGGAACAGUGUAGGCAUAUGAAUCUACUUUUUUAAUGGUAAAUUUUUAUCAAGUAUAUCCCAUGAAAAUUUAGCUUCUGAUUGGGAUACAUUCUAAAUGUAAAACACAGCAGAAGAAGUACAGUAUAAAGUAUGGUAAUACUGGUUAUAUUUUUUAAUUUGGCUUCAUGUUGAGAUGAUAAUAUUUUGGAAACACUAGGUUAAGUAAAAUACACUUAAAUAAAGUUUGUUUCCUUGUAGUGUUUAAUAUAACUACUAGAAAAUGUAAAUACUGUAUGUAAGCAUUACUGCUCAUUUUAUUUUUAGUGCACUGUGUUGGCCCACAGCUCCCCAGCCCACAUUCUGAGAGUGGUCAGGAGAGUUAGCACAGCCACGAAAUGAAAAUAGAAGUGCACGUGUUAUCCAUAUGGUGUCAUGCGCAUGUGGUCUGCUUUGAACCUUGUUGGUGAGAGCAAAGAGCCAGUCACCAAAUACCGUACCAUAUGCCAUGUACUCGAGGCUGUGUUGAUCUCUCUGAACAAGACAGCACAUCUGGCAAGGCAGCUGUGAGUGUAGCCACUGUUUUGUUGAGCUAGCAGUAAUCCGCCAUCAUCCCCCAGGUUCCAUCCAGAUUUUGUAAUUACCAGAGUCAUGAAUAAAAUGGAAGUAAGGUGGGAAGAGUGGCAUCUGAUCCUUUAGAAUCUUUAAGUAUGAGAAUAUCUCGGCAGGGGUAUGAAGAGUGGUGAUCUUUUCUAGAGUAUGGAACACAAAAAUUCCCAAUAUGUGUUAUAAUAGAACGAUUAGAGUAACAUGAUUACCUUUAAAAAAUUCCAGUAAAUCCAGCUUUGACUUAACAUAGAUGUAGUACUAUCUGUGGUAGUAGAAACUGAGUUUUCAAAUCAAGGUAAAAAUGUUCUUUAAGAGAUGUGAGACAUUUUUAAACAUCUACACAAUGAGUCUAAUUUUUUAGGUUUCAAAUUGAUAUUUUUUCAUAAUUUGGGAAGUCAAAGUGAUAUAAAAUAUAUUAGAGUAUUUUUUUUUUUUGGUACUGGGGGUCGAACUCGGGUCCUUGCGCUUGUGAGGCAGGUGACAGAACCACUGGGCUAAAUCCCCGGCCCAAUAUUAGAGGAUUAAUUGUGCUAUCUCAGUGUGUAUUGCAUGAUUCAUCUAAAGCUAAAGCAAAGUACUUGUAAUUUUCAAAUUUUGAAUCAAUUUUUUGAUACUCCUGGAAAGGUCUAGUAUUAUAAAGAUAAUUGGUUUGUUGCCCAGUUGAAGAUCUUUCACUGUUUGUAAAAUGUAUUUUCCAUAUUUUUCUCAUAAUUUUCUAAUAAACUAG